UACAGAGGGGGCAAGCGUUGUUCGGAAUUACUGGGCGUAAAGGGCGCGUAGGCGGCCUUCUAAGUCGAACGUGAAAUCCCCGGGCUCAACCCGGGAACUGCGUCCGAUACUGGAAGGCUUGAAUCCGGGAGAGGGAUGUGGAAUUCCAGGUGUAGCGGUGAAAUGCGUAGAUAUCUGGAGGAACACCGGUGGCGAAGGCGACAUCCUGGACCGGUAUUGACGCUGAGGCGCGGAAAGCCAGGGGAGCAAAGCAGG
rnacentral:rRNA from 1 species